rnacentral:rRNA from 1 species
UGGUGGAGUGAUUUGUCUGCUUAAUUGCGAUAACGAACGAGACCUUAACCUGCUAAAUAGCCCGACCGACUUUUGCCGGCCGCUGGCUUCUUAGAGGGACUAUCGGCUCAAGCCGAUGGAAGUUUGAGGCAAUAACA